rnacentral:ncRNA from 1 species
GCGGGGUUAACCCGCGGGAUGUCCCCGAGCCGGGGGAACCACAAA